rnacentral:rRNA from 1 species
AACGAACGCUGGCGGCGUACUUAACACAUGCAAGUCGAACGCGAAAGAGGUCUUCGGACCUCUCUAGAGUGGCGCACGGGUGAGUAACGCGUAGAUAAUCUACCUCUACAUUUGGGAUAACAGCUCGAAAGGGCUGCUAAUACCGGAUACACUUAUACGUACGCGAGUGCGAAUGAGGAAAGGUGACCUCUCCAUGGAAGUUACUGUAUAGAGAUGAGUCUGCGUACCAUUAGCUAGUAGGUAGGGUAAAGGCCUACCUAGGCAACGAUGGUUAGCGGGUCUGAGAGGAUGGUCCGCCACACUGGAACUGGAACACGGACCAGACUCCUACGGGAGGCAGCAGUGAGGAAUAUUGCGCAAUGGGGGGAACCCUGACGCAGCGACGCCGCGUGGGUGAUGAAGGCCUUCGGGUUGUAAAGCCCUGUCAGGUGGGAAGAAGUGCAUUAUGGCUAAUAUCCAUAGUGUUUGACGGUACCACCAAAGGAAGCACCGGCUAACUCCGUGCCAGCAGCCGCAGUAACAC